CGGUGCCGAUUCCCGAUCCUAUCCCGCGCCCACAACCUAUGCCAGAUCCGCCGCCGGAUGAAGAACCGAUUAAAU
rnacentral:ncRNA from 2 species